UGGGUGACCUGCCCUCAGCUCUGGGAUAAGCCUGGGAAACUGGGUCUAAUACCGGAUAACACUUUUCCCUGCAUAGGGAUUGGUUAAAAGCUCCGGCGGUGAAGGAUGAGCCCGCGGCCUAUCAGCUUGUUGGUGGGUAAUGGCCUACCAAGGCGACGACGGGUAGCCGGCCUGAGAGGGCGACCGGCCACACGUGGGACUGAGACACCGGCCCAGACCUCCGUACGGGAGGCA
rnacentral:rRNA from 1 species